AACGUUUAGAAUUUAUAUUACCACGAAUUUUCCAGAUGGCGAUGUCUUCAAACCAACUGAUAUGUCAUAACUCCAAGAUGACGAAAAUAGUGUUUUUUGUGUGUUCAUAAUUGCAACGAUGAUGGAAGGACGUUGAUCAGUCGUGCCCCUGCUACUGUACAAACAUAUCAGUUCAAGGCCACAGAAAACUUGUUCAUGGUCAUCCUUGUUACUCCCGGAGGAAGUAUGAAUACAUGUUGGUGCAGAGAUGAAGGGGAUCAACCCUUCUUCUCUGUGUUGGGACUGUUGGGGGUGAAUAAAGGUAUUUUUCGUCUAUGGUUGUACACGCAAGCUUUUUGCCAUAUUUUAGGAUAGAAAGGAUGAAAAGGAAAAUUUAAAAAAAGAACAGAAGACACCAAUAUCGUAUGCCAAAACGAUGUGUAUACGCGCUUAGCAAUUACGGAAUAACACACUACAAGGGUGUUAGGCACAAUCGACAAAUACCGGGUGAAACCAAACGAAUAACUCGGAACAAAUAUUCUUUGAUUCAAAAAUGGCAAGCUGCUAUAUGAAUACAAACGCGAACGCAAUCUCCUUAUAAAAA